ensembl:snRNA U6 U6 spliceosomal RNA
UUGCUCCCUUCGGCAGCACAUAUAAUAAAAUUGGAAUAAUACAGAGAAGAUUAGCAUGGCCCCUGUGCAAGGAUGACACACAAAUUCGUGAAAAAAAAAGAAGACAA